rnacentral:tRNA from 2 species
GGGCACUUAGCUCAGGAGUAGAGCGCUUCUUUGACAUAGAAGAGGUCAGGGGUGCGAAGCCCUUAGUGCCCACCA